rnacentral:rRNA from 1 species
CGCCUUGCCAGCCCGCUCAGAAACUCAAAGGAAUUGACGGGGGCCGCACAAGCGGCGGAGCAUGUGGAUUAAUUCGAUGCAACGCGAAGAACCUUACCUGGGUUUGACAUACACCGGAAAACCGUAGAGAUACGGUCCCCCUUGUGGUCGGUGUACAGGUGGUGCAUGGCUGUCGUCAGCUCGUGUCGUGAGAUGUUGGGUUAAGUCCCGCAACGAGCGCAACCCUUGUCUUAUGUUGCCAGCACGUGAUGGUGGGGACUCGUAAGAGACUGCCGGGGUCAACUCGGAGGAAGGUGGGGACGACGUCAAGUCAUCAUGCCCCUUAUGUCCAGGGCUUCACACAUGCUACAAUGGCCAGUACAGAGGGCUGCGAGACCGUGAGGUGGAGCGAAUCCCUUAAAGCUGGUCUCAGUUCGGAUCGGGGUCUGCAACUCGACUUCAUGAAGUCGGAAUCGCUAGUAAUCGCGGAUCAGAACGCCGCGGUGAAUACGUUCCCGGGCCUU